rnacentral:lncRNA from 1 species
CUUCCUGUUGUUGCACCAUGGAAGCUUGCUGCUAAAUGAGAAACUUCUUCUAUAAUUAAAAAAAAUAGUCGAUGCUCUUUCACAUCUGUCUCUCCAUUUCCUCCGUCCCACUUUUCCACAUCAACUUUUUUCCCUCUUCGAUACAAUUAUACCUACACAACACAUGUAUUAGUCCGAGAAAUUCUAAAUCUGGGUAGAUUAUGGAUUUCAUCAUUUUUCAUUCAAUUUUGUUCAUAUAGAAAUUAGAAUCUCAAAAAAUGCAUGCAAUAAAAGAGAGAGUUUCAGAAACAUAAUCAAGAUUUUUUUUCGGAUUUCCCAUCAUCUCGAACUCCAGAUCAAGAACCCGAGGUACCCAUUUUUGUUUUUUCCUUUUGUGGGUCUGCAAAAUUAAGUUACUAUUUGAUUGAACCCAAUGUUUGAAUUGAUUGUGAGAUUUUUUAUGAUUUUUUAUUAAUUAAAAUUGUUUCUUGUGUCUGAUCCGUGAAAAAAAUUUGUGGGUUUGAGUUUUGGAUACAAUGUGUAUGUAAAUAAGUUGAAUUCCGUGAA